ensembl:lncRNA
AAAGCCUCCGGGUCCUACAGUCUUUGAGACCCUCCCCUGGCUCAAAUGCCCUGUGAGCCAGGGGGGACAGAGUUUCCUGUCCACCCCUGUCGCCCCUCAGCAGGCCAGAGUAAUUCUCUGGAUCGUCGGUCAACCCACCCGGUUUUACAGAUGACCAGGAGUCUGGAUUUGCAGAUAAUAGAAUUUACAUGGGCUGGUUGGAAAACUGUGUCAAGGUGGUAGGCAGCCUACAGAAUUGUGGAACGGGCUGAAGAAAUGGAUCCUAAGCCACAGGUCUGACCUGACCUGGUAAGAAAACUGCUUCUCCUGACACUGCCACCAGACACUAAAUGCCAGGACUUAGACUUGUCUGCAACAGCUGCUGCUCAUGGUCCUGAAACCGCUUCUACAUCAAAAAAGUGACCUUUGGGACUUCCUGGUGGUCCAGUGGUUAAGAAUCUGACUUCCAGUGCAGAGGACUUGAGUUCAAGUCCAGAUGGGGAACUAAGAUCCUACAUGCUGCAGGGCAACUGGGCCUAUGUGCCACAACUACUGAGCCGGUGGAGUGCUCUGGAUCUGUAAGCCACAACAAGGAUCCCACGUGCCACAACAAGGAUCCCACGUGCCACAACUCAGACCCAACACAGCCAUAAAUGAAUAAAUAUUUUAAAAAGAAGGAGGAGACACCGAGGAGACAGACCACCUUCUGACUCUGGGAGUUGUUGGAUCAGGAUGGGAAGCCUGGAAUUACCAUGCCCAUCAUGCUCCCAUCCGUGGUGAAGCCAAAAAUCCAGAAGUGGGCAAAGAGGAUCUUAGAAGCCUGGACUCUACAUGGUGUGAGAUGACAAGUGUCUUUAUUGUUUAAGGCAGAUGGUGUUAGAGUUGUCUGUUACUUAAAGCCAAAUACACCCUAACAGAUAAGUCUGCCUUACAGCACUUGGACGUAUUUCUUGGUGUCACUUGUCUGAGACUAAGUGACUUGAGUGGGGUGAGGACUGGGCUUCCUUUAUCUCCAUAUACUGUGUGCCUGGCCAUAGCAGGUCUCUGUGCAUACUUGCACUUGAACUGUUCAUGAGCCUUCCAAAUCGAAGGGUGCUACCACUGUGAUGCUAUGAACCUAACAUACUCCAAACAGGACACUAUGUUUCUCCCAUACUCUCUUUACAUAUCUGAAUAAAUGGCACCACCUUUGUCCUUUUCCCCCAAACCUACAUCUGUCCAUUACCCAGUCCCACUGGUUCUCCAAAAUAAAUCUCAGUGUAACCGUUUCUCUCUCUCCCCUGUCAACACUGGGCUUCAAACUGGGAUCAUCUCUUGCCUAAGUUACCUCAUGAUCUCUCCAGUGGGUCCUCCAGCUUCUGUCCUUACUCUCAAUAUCUGUCAAAUCCAUCUUCCACACAACCAGAUCAGUCUUUAAAAUGUGAAUCAGAAAUGAAUCCUCCCUUAGUACACGUGGAAUAAAAUCCAAACUCCUACUUAUUUAAAUGGGUGAAUUGUAUGGCAGGUAAAUUAUAUUUCAGUAACAUACAUAUUUUUGUCAGUAAACAUUAAGAAAAAAAAGUCCGACAUCCUCCCUGGGGCCUGUGGUCUGGCAUGGCCAUGAUCUAGCCCCUGUCCACCUCUCUGAUCCCCAUUUGGUACUUUCCUCUCACUCUCUCCAGCCACACUGGGCAUCCUUCUGUUCCACCAACACCCCAGGAUUGCUUUUACCUCAGGGUCUUUGCAAAUGUGCUUCCAUCUUCCUGGAAUGUUCUUCCCUGGAGCUUUCCCCACAGCUUGUUCCUUCUCGUCUUCCAACCUCACAUGUCACCUCUUUUGACACCCUCUUAUCAAUGGUCCUCUUAUUUUCUUGAUAGCACCUAAAUAUCCAAAAUUAUCUUAGUAGUUUGCUUGUUUGUUGGGUUUUGUUUUUUGUUACUUUUUUCUCUCUCACCAGCUCAUGAUACUAAGAACUUUUACUUUUUAUUUUAGGAAUAGUGUCUAACACUUAGGUCAAGAAACAUUUGUUGAAGGAAGAAUUUGUUGAAUCAUUUCAGUUGAUCAUUCAGUGAAGCAUUGUGUUGGGCUUAAGUUUCUGUGUUUUCAGUGGAAAGCAAAUUUUGUAUUCACAUUCAUUUAAAAAAUACAAGCGAAUCACUAGA